CCAAUAGCGUAUAUUAAAGUUGUUGCAGUUAAAAAGCUCGUAGUUGAAUUUCGAGAUCAAAUUGUUGGUCGUGCCUCGGUACGUACUGGCAUUAUUGGUUUCUCCCUUCUGACGAACCAUGAUGUCAUUAAUUUGGUGUCAUGGGGAAUCAGGACUGUUACUUUGAAAAAAUUAGAGUGUUUAAAGCAGGCUCACGCUUGAAUACAUUAGCAUGGAAUAAUGAAAUAGGACGUUUGAUUCUAUUUUGUUGGUUUCUAGGAUCGACGUAAUGAUUAAUAGGGAUAGUUGGGGGCAUUAGUAUUCAAUUGUCAGAGGUGAAAUUCUUGGAUUUAUUGAAGACUAACUACUGCGAAAGCAUUUGCCAAGGAUGUUUUCAUUAAUCAAGAACGAAAGUUAGGGGAUCGAAGACGAUCAGAUACCGUCGUAGUCUUAACCAUAAACUAUGCCGACUAGGGAUCGGAUGAUGUUAAUUUUUUAAUGACUCAUUCGGCGCCUUACG
rnacentral:rRNA from 1 species